AAGACUAUACUUUCAGCGAUUAUUUCUAUAGUAUGUGACUAGAGAAGUUUCUCUGAUCGUGUAGAGCACCUGAAACAACGAGGAAGAGCCAGAGCAUCCUCUCCUGAGCGUGAAGCCGGCUCUAGGUGUUGCUUCUGCGACUGUGGUUUUUGAUGAUUGUUCUCCCCUUCCUUUGGAAGGGGUAGAGGGAGAGGAUGCAGUCUGAGUGGU